AAACUAAUAUAAAAUAUAAACGAUUAACAGGCACAAGCAUAUGCAGAGAACUAUUUAGGCUCUAAAAACGAUUCGUUGUCUGAACAACCAUUACUUAUAAAAGUAAAUAUAUUGAACACAAAAAACUGAGUAUUUAUAACUUUUCAAUGUCUACUUAACAUAUAUUGUUCAUGUAACGCAAAAAUAUAAGUUACAAAGUGAACUUAAAUGUAUGCAUAAAUAAAAUGAAAGAAAGUAAGUCAUGACAACUACUAGUACAAUUAUGUUAAAAUUAAGUAAAUCUAGCAUAAAAUUUUAAGUAUUUGACUGUGAGCCAUGUGAUGUGCUGUUUCCUGCAAAGGAGCCAUUUUGUGAAGCACAUGUGAAGACGGUGAGAAGGGGGGGUGAAGAAACGCAUUUCUGAAACGCAACGUGAUGUAGAUGCUGAAAAGAGACCAGCCCUGUGGAACAACGUAGAGAAGAUGUAAUUCUAUGCUUAAUUGUCUGCCUCUCUGAAAAUCCUGAGAAUCUCAUCAAGCACCAUCAGGUGAGCAUCUGAAAUUGAUCCAAGUUACUCUCCAAACCUAAAUAAACAACUUUUAUAAAGACA
ensembl:lncRNA